CUUUCCUGUAGCAACACUGAAAGCUCAGCCAAGAUGAAGGAACAGCUUAGCUGUAUAUGGAUAGCCAUUUUAGAUAAAUUCAAUAACAGAGCUACUGCAAGCGACUUUUAGUCAAAUCCAUUUAUCCUUUGCUGAAAUUUCCGCUUCUUCAUGGAGAGCGCAGGCCAUGCUGCUUAGCAACGGGAGACGCCUUUUGGAGCGCAAUGCACUUAGCGUUUUCCACGCGUUUUUAGGCGCGACAUGUGAACGGCCCCUUAAGCUUUGCCAAGAUCCUCAUCCCAAAAUCAGGAGGUGCUGAACUGGCCACAGCGGAGAUGAAUGGAUAAAGAAAUGUGGCUUAUGUUAAGGACCCAAUUUCAUUGUUCAGACUUUUCUCCCCUGAACUGCGGCCUCUCCUGUUGCUCAUCUCAGGGAAGCAGCAGGUCUAGAGCUGCAGAUUCUGAGAAAAUUAGGCUUUUGUUUAAACAGAAUGGGGUUGGCGCAGUUGCUCGGAGGCAUAAAUGUAACCACAAACCACAUAAUGAUACAGCAUGACUUGCAAUGAAAGCCAUCGCUAUAAAUUCAUUUAAAGAGUAGCUGACAUGAUUUUGUCAUUUUUGGAUCCUCCAGAUAUCUCUGGAUCAAAUUGCAAUUUUGUAAACAGCAUUUAUUUGUCUUAGUGUGUGAUCCUCUGGCUGUGAUUUGUUUGCCCAUGUUCGUGAUUCGAGGCUUGAAUUUCAGAAGAACACUUAGACUGUAGAAAUCCAAUCUAACUCUGUGAUUAAAGCAUAUUUUAACUUCCCUG
ensembl:lncRNA